CAUGGAGCAGUAGAACGCUGACAGUCGAGCGACGAGGUGAGGCUGUCUGAACCUUAUUUAAAGAGGGUGUGCAACCUUUGGCUUCCGACGUUUUAGUGUGUGUGUGUGUGUGUGUGGCUCAUCCUUCAAACGUGUUAUUUACGUUCAUCAGGCUAGUCGGCUUGCCACACCCGGCCACAGUAGCGGCAGCAACCGCACACUAUCGUAUUUUGUCAUAGUUGUUCGCCCGACAGCAUCGAGGAUACCGCCUCCGUGUGAGCCCGGUUAUUACUCACAUCCCUCGAAAAGGCCGUCGCAUCCUCGACACGGUCCGGAGUAUCGAGUUCAUACGAUUAAGUCAUCAGGAACCUUCCGCCGCACCGCACCGCACUGACGCUGGGGGUCUCUCGGAAGGUGCCUGCGCCCGCGUGUGUGUGUCUGUGUGUAUGUGGGGAGGUUUGGUUGGAUUUAGGCGGAUGGAUAUUUAUCAGGCGAAUUCCAGCGCGUUGAAGAUGGGGAGCGAGGCCCGUUUCUGGGCGAAUGUGCGCGGAACCGCAGCAGCCGGUUAGUGCCACGCUACCGUGGAACGUGGCGCGUGAAGGAAUGCCGAAAGAAUGCGGUCGAGGAGGGUUGGCAAACGAGCAAGGAGGGGUGGGAGGGAAUUGAACGAGAAUGAAAUCACGAGAUGGCAUCAGAAAUUUAAUUCAAACUUUUACUUGCACGCCGACCGGCGCGCGGCUUGUUUCCAACGCGACGGGGCUUCCGGGUUGGUUUGCAGUAGCCAGGCACCAGUGCGCCUGCUUUGGUUUGGUUUGUAAUUUUAAGGUUUUGGGUACCACUCCACUAUUGCAGUGAUUCGUUGUCUAUAAAACAACGAGCUGCCACGCGGCUCCAUUAGAUAUUGUAAGCGUUCUUUUGCCGUAUCCAGUGUCGGUUUUGUAACAGAAUGACUAUAGUUUGUAACAAUA